rnacentral:lncRNA from 1 species
UGGCUUGUAAGGUAGACCUUCCUGCGGGACUGUCUAGAUGAACCUAUGUGCAGGCUUAUGUGCAAGGAACAUGUUUCUAUGUGAGUAAUACACUUCUUUGCAGAAACUGCAGUUAACUAGUACACCAUAAUGAUAAUAAUUGUAUAUUUACCUUGGACAAUUUGCUAAACCUGCUCAUGCAAUGUAAAUUGUAUGCUCAGGGACUGGAUAGCCUAAAGUUUGAUCCUGGUGAUUGUGCAUCUAUUGGAUCUGGACCUAUGAAACGGUAUGAUGCUUGAUCCAAAAUUCUCUCUUUCAAUUGGUUAUGCAUUUUUACUGCUGUUUUUUCUCCAUUGAAGUUCCAUGUAGCACCCAGUGCCCAUGGGGGAAAAUGACAAAAAGCAAUCUAGCAUGAAUUUAGUUAAGUAAAACUACAUUAACUCAAUGCUUGCAUACGGUCGAUCAAUCAUAACCCAAUGUGUUGAAAUGCUAGUUUUGGAGAAAGACUGUUCUAAUGACCUGAGCUCUUUAACAUAAGGUUCAUACCUUCAACUUUGCAGUACAUAAGUGAUGAUUGAGGUGCACAAGCUCUCUCACACACAAACAGUUAGUAUGUACUUACAACAAUUUUUAUACAUUACAGAUUACACAAAUAUAAACCAGUAUACGUAGAGAAGAGUGAGAUUGCAUGCAUUAUCUUGCAAGAUCUACAUCCAGCACCAGUUUUGCUGUCUCUGUGCUCUGGUAUCCCAUGCCUGAAGGGACAGACAUUGAUGACUCUUGACAAGAAUAAUGUGCUUGAUUAGGAUGCAUCUUUGUGACUAACUGCAUCUGGAGUCUUCUCAGCAUUUGUAAUCGCUCUGCAACUUCCUUCAUUGUUGGCCUCUCGUCUCCUUUUGGGCUCAGACAGUGCAUUACAAGUUCAGCUAGUUUCUCGAGUACUACCAUUACUUGAUCAUCUACUAUUUCAGUGUCCAACAUAGAUCGGAGCUCAUUCCGGUGGAACAUCAGUAUGAAAGUAUGAGAUAGUGAUUUCUUUUCGUUAGAGGUAUCCCUGUAUAGAGCCUUUUUUCUUGUCAUUAGCUCUAAAAGAACAACUCCGAAGCUGUAUACAUCACUUUUGUCAGUUAGAUGAUGACUGACAAAACUCUCAGGGUCUAUAUAACCAAGAGUUCCUUGGAUAAGCAUAAUGAAAUCAUUUUUGUCCAUGGACUUUAGUGCCGAUGCUCCAAAAUCUGAUACUUUUGCAUUGUAUUCAUUGUCCAAUAGUAUAUUUAGGGAUUUGACAUCUCCAUGCAGAAUUGUACGAGAAGUUGAUGAAUGAAUGUAGGCAAGAGCUUCAGCUGACUGUGUAGCAAUAUUCAAUCUAAGAUCCAAGGGUAUUGGUGAUCUGGCAUCAGUUACAUGAAGGAACUCAAAGAGAGUACCGUUAGGAAUGAACUCAU